rnacentral:rRNA from 1 species
CAUUGAAACACCAGUUCCCAUAUGAUCACCAAAGUUAAGCAAUGUUGAGCUUGAUCAGUACCUAGAUGGGUGACCACGAAGGAAUAUUAUGUGCUA